rnacentral:rRNA from 1 species
GAUGAACGCUGACAGAAUGCUUAACACAUGCAGUCACUGAUUGUGGCGGACGGGUGAGUAACGCGUAAAGAACUUGCCUCAAAGCUAGGGACAACAAUUGGAAACGAAUGCUACUACCUAAUACUGUGAGAGAGCUUUGCGUCCCAUUAGCUAGUUGGUGAGGUAACGGCUCACCAAGGCGAUGAUGGGUAGCCGGCCUGAGAGGGUGAUCGGCCACAAGGGGACAGAGACACGGCCCUUACUCAUACGGGAGGCAGCAGGGGGGAAUAGUGGACAAGGGGCCAAAGUCUGAUCCAGCAAUUCGGUGUGCACGAUGAAGUUUUCGGAAUGUAAAGUGCUUUCAGUUGGUAAGCGGUACCAACAGAAGAAGCGACGGCUAAAUACGUGCCAGCAGCCGCGGUAAUUC